GCUGGGCUAGCCAGCCAGACAAAGGCCUGGAGGAGGGGGCAACACGGGACUUUCAAGGAGCAGGAAAAGGCCGGUGGUGAGUGGACUCAGGGAGCCAGGGCACCGUCGUGAGAAAACACACCACAGACCUGGGAUUUUAUCAGCAGAGCUACCAGCAAGGAUUGAAGAGUUCUAAGUAGCAAAGUGACACGAUCCGAGGAGAGUUUUUAAAGGCUUGAAUAAGCUGCUUUGUGGAAAAUGGAUUCGAAUGGCAAAGUAAUCCAUCCAGGGGACACGGGUUUCAUCCCUGAUCGGGGAACUAAGAUCCCACAACUAAGCCCACACACUGCAACUACUGAGCCCGCACCCUCUGGAGCCGCCGUGCCACAGCUAGAGAGAAGCCCGCACGCCGCAACUAGAGAAGCCCACGCUCUGCAACGAAGAUCCUGCAUGCUGCAACUAAAACCCGACACAGCCAAAUAAAUACAAAUAAAUAAAUAUUUUUAAA